UUCAGAAUUAAAAUUUUCUGUUUCAUCUUCACAAUAACUCUCACUCUCUUCAUGUAAAGUGGGUUCAGGUUCGAUUGAAACAACAUCAAACAAGCCAUCCACAUUUAGAGAUACAUUAUCAAUGCUAUUAUCAUCAACAAGAUUUAAAGGGAACUCAUUAAAGUCAUCUUGAUAUGUAUCUCCCUCUUCCUCUGGAAUGUCAAAACGAUCUCUAGAUUUUGUUCGGAUGAUAGUUUGUCAAUCUUUAUUCUUUUGGGAGACAUUUGGUGCGUAGAAAACUUGCUCUGCCUUUUUGAGAUAGAACAAAGGGUUCAUAUGCUCUAAGUUUAGUAUGUAUGUUAAUCGAGACAGUUUUCGAAUUGUUAAUUUUCAUUUUUUUGUGGAUGUCGUACCCAGUGGCGUAUCUAGGAUUCCCCGGCAGGGGGGGCAAGAUUCGCCGAAGGCGAAAAAUUUUUUUUUGCCGAAGAUCUCUCCUAUAUAUAUGUCAAGAUAUUAAAAUAGUGUAGUAGAACUUAAAAUUAAUUCAAGCUCACCGAAUAAAGCUCCAACAAUUUUAGUCUCGUUCAUCCGUAGUGUGUUUAACAAAUCGAAUCAAGUAAAGCUAAGCUCGGACUCAGCUCGCCAAGUGAGAAUAAGAUUUAGCUCGAAUCCUAUUUUGCAAAACUAAAGAUCGAAGCUUGAUAAACUAACUUACAAUAUAACAUCAAAAAUCAAUAUUAAACAAUAAUUUUAGAAUACCAAAGAUCAGUGGCGUAUCCAGUUUUUGAAGGACCCAUCAACUGUUUGGGGGUAUGUUAUUGAUCUUGGACUCCUUGUGUACUAGAAACAACUUAUAUAGAAAGCAACGGAGGGAGAAAUCGUGAGGUGGAUGGGUCAUGCGAGUUGGGAGGAGGAGAGAUUGGGGAAGAAAUUGAAGGAGGAGGAGGAGAAAUCGAUAGUUUUGGGGAAGAAGAUUG
rnacentral:lncRNA from 1 species